rnacentral:lncRNA from 1 species
CUCUAUGACGUAGGGACAAAGCUCUCUCAUUCGUCGCGGAUGGUCGAGUCACUCUACUCGUUUGCGUCAUAGUUCUGUGUGAUUGGCUGAGACUACUUGAGGCCUUUUCCUAGUCCCCGCCCUCGGGGAGCAGUUAGUUUAGAUUAAGCGAGAGGUCGUGGUGGAAAAGCCCCAGCCGGAAGGAAUUUGUGGCAGGGGAGGAGUGAAAGGCGGGGCGCAUGCGUACAUGGGGCCAAGGGGCUCCUGCGCCUCUUCCUUCACUAACGACGCCCGGGUCCUGAUGGGAAACUUUAGAUGACGUCAAUCUUUGUUCCUGUGGUAACCAGGAACCUGGGGGUGGGGACGCAGGUUGUGCUGGCAAACUGAUCCGUUGGCGCGGCAGCACUUGGGAGGCUGAGGCAGACAGAUUGCUGUGAGUUCGAGGCCAUCCUGAACUAUAUAGCGAGACCCUGUCUCAAAACAAAAACAAUGUCUGACGCUGGGCGUGGUGGCACAAGUCUGAUCCUAGCACUUGGAAGGCUGAGGCUGGAAGAGCAGGAGUUUGAGACCUACCCGGCCAAUUUAGGAAAACCCUGUCUCACUAAAAGGGGAUAGGGAAGUAACAGCGCUCUUUGGCUUGGCUUCCCAACUCUGGUGGCGGAAGAGACAGUGUCUGAACUGAGGGAACACCGUACAAAAUUAGAUGAAGAAAGCAUAAAUGGUGCACCAAUGAGACGUAAAAAGAAGAAAGCUGGCAAGCCUGUAAUCUCAGCACUCCAGAGGCUGAGGCAGGAGGUCUCAAGUUCCAGGCCAGCCUGGGCCACAUAGUCAAUUCAAGGCCAGCCUGAACUACAAAACAAGCUCUUGUCUCCAAAAAAAAAAAAAAAAGGACAGGUAAAGGACCAAUAUUUAGUACUUACCUAGCAUCCAGUAAGCCUUAGGUUCCAACCCCAGCAUCACAAAACAAACAUACAAAAAAGCCAAUAUUUAUAACACAAGUCUUUUUUAAAAAAUUUUUUCUGUGAACAUUUUUGUAGUACCUAUUUGCAGUACAUGAUGAUUAUUUUCGUCGUGGAGUUGGUGCUCAUACAUCCUCUGCCAGAAAUUUUUUUGUUUUUGAGAUGGUCUCGUUAUGUAGUCUAGGCUGGCCUCAAACUCGAGGCAAUCCUCCUGCUUCAGUUUCCUGAGUACUGGGAUUACAGGCAUGCGCCACCAUACCAGAAGUCUUAAACGCUAAUUAGAAAAAGGUCUGUAAUCACAGCACCUCUGGAAGGCUUAGGCAGAAGGAUCCCAAGUUUGAACCUAGUCUGGGCAGUUUAGUAAC